ensembl:lncRNA
GUCAGUCUCCUGGCCCGGGUCGGUUGGGAGUUUUCUCCUGGGCCCUGUUUCAAAGUCUUCAUUCACUGAGGAACCUGGCCAGGGGCGUGGGGCUUAUGUGACACCAACUAUCCUCACUGUACUCGACAAGCUACACAUUCUACACUAGGCCCCCUUUGACCUGGAUAUUGUAUGUGAAGUCUUGGGUCAAAUGAAAGACAAGCCAAAGGAAAGAGCGUCCCAGUCACAGUGGGGAAUGGCCCACAGAGGCACUGUCAGGCAGAGGUGGGGAUCCGUUCCUCUCAGAGGCCCUGUUCCUGCAGACACACUCUGAAGGUGUCCUGAGCACACGCCAUGACCCUCUUUUGGAUCUUCGAGAGAACCUGGCCACUGUAAUACACCUUAGAGGUUGAAAGCCCUGUCUUUAACAGGACGGUGAGUCAGGACACAGCAAUGUAAGCCCAUCAUUGGGGAACAUGCCAAAGAAUAUCCAGAAGAGAUCCCUAAAGUAGAACGUUUUGAGAGGUGGGUCUUUAUAGGUGUCCAUCAAACAAGGGAUUGCUUAACUGUAUUUUCCCCAAUAAAUGUCCUGUUCUUAACUUGGUCUUCACCUGAGAGCGGGAGUUAAUUUGAUAACACAGGACACAGUUUAAAACUGCAACUGAGCACAGACAGCAGAUAGGCUGACAACCGAUCCUUAUACAUUAACAUCAACAGUUACAAUUCUCAGCCAUCUUUGAUCUUUGAAGCACUAUUCUGAUCUGUUGAAUAAAGUUAUCUCCACAGUGUUUUAGAAAUGUAUUCAACUAACUAGGUACAAGGGAUCCUGACAAGAGCUAAAAUGUACUGAGUUUCACUAACAACAGCAGGGUUUUAACUGUAAAACUUUGGACUCAGGAACACACAGUAGGGCAAGCACAAGGUCCGUUUUCAAACUAGUAUUAAUUUGGGCAAGUUGUCCCUUUCCUCAGCCUAAUAUAUCUGUCAAGCAUAGCAGGUCAUGAUGAAAACCUGCUUUCGCUUUAGAGAGCAGUCGCAAAUUUUUGAUCUUCGAUUUCCUCCUGUAAGAAUGGGUUCUGUUUCCACAGCUGCAAGAUCGGCUUUCGUUAAGAGAACGUUUUCAGAUAAUGCUCACGCCACGGCCACACACCAGACCUACUACUUCAGACUCUCUGGGGCUGUCCUGCCAGCAUCGGCUCUCCUAAAGCCUCUCCAGGGGAGAUUUGAUGCACAGUUAAGACUGAGGAGCAAAAUCACAUGAGGCUUCACCCAUCCUGGUUUUAAAUAUAAUCCUGAACUG